CUAGUCCUAAACUAUACUCUACCCGAUACCUCGGGCCUUCAUGACAGACAUCCUCCAUGUACAAAAUACCUCGAGGCAUUCCCCGGCGAAUAAACACAAAUAACUCGGGGUAUUCCCCGGCCAAAUGAAUACACUUUUAAUGCCGGAAGACCACAACCAUUCAACAAUAUUUCAAACAUUCCAAUAUUUAUAAUCCAUAAAUUUUCCUAUCACCCCUAUCGUUUGCCUUUCGAUUUGACGGCCUAAUCAUGAUACUAUCAAGUUCAAUGACAUCAAUGAAUCAAAAUUAGUCCGUAUUCAUUUUUUUGCUUUUCAAAUUCCGCCCUACUUUAAUUCUUGAUCAAUUAACCAAUUCCAAUACAGAAUCAUCCAAUCAAAACUACGACAAUCAUAGACGUUCAAAUAUACUAUCAAAAAUUAUAUCAUCAAUCAACAUGAAGCAAGCAACUCACAACAUCACCUCACCAAAUUAUGUAAAACAAAGAGAAGGAUCUGAAGAAUCGGACCUUAGAAGAAGCUUUAAAAAUUGAUGUAUUAUUCCAAGAAAAACUUGGUAUAAUCCGUGUCGAGAACCUUAAUUCAGACCUCAAUCACGAACUUGCCAACUCGAUCAAAACUGCAAAACAGCAGAGAAAACCAUAAAAAAAAUCCAAAUCUCAAUUUUUAAACCAAGCUUGAAACGAGUCACACCAGGUUUGCUAUUUUUGGUGAAGUUUGAACUCCCUGGAGCUCCGUUGGAUCUCGGCAGUUAGCGAAAUAAUGUUUUCCCAGUGAGAUUUUGCCAGAAAACUAGAAACGAAAGAGAAUUCAAAGAUUUUGAGGGUGCGGAUGGUCUAAUUCCGGUAAGGGAAUACCAAUUCCGGUGAGAAACUCGCCGGAAAAACCAAACCAGCCGUCCUUGAUUUGAAGGUAAUAUGUUUCCUAUUUUAUCAAAGAAAACUUGUGAGUUAAAAAACAUGGUGGAUGGCUUGUGUCUUUAGCUUUCGCGACAAUCGCUCUUGCCCCAGUCACAUUUAACCUUGCUUCCAACUAUUAGCAUAUGUCAUUGACUUGUUGCAUCAGUGAUCCAAAUUCAUAUUAGGAAGAGUGACUCUGCCACAAACACAGUAUCUCUGCUUUGCCAUGUUUCUCAGUUAAACCCUUUGAACAAUGGUAUUUCUGUGGGUUCCCAGACUUGUCUGUUGACAAAACUCUCUACAUGUCCUUUUUUUUUCAGCUCACAAUCAUGUCUCUUUCUUGCGCUGGCCUUUUUGUCUUGCUUUGUACAAUUGAAGAAGUUGGUAGCCAAUUUUAAAAUCUUUUUUCACUUGUUUCGACAUGGACUAGACUCAAAGACAAGAGCAAAAAUGACCAUGAUUUUUUAUUUGGAUAACUGACUCAAGAAAAAUAAAAUAAAAAUAAAAUAAAGAGAAGAAAGAAAAGACAAUGAAUGUCCCCAUUAAAAAAAAAUAAUGAAAAAUGUAUCUAAAAAUGAGAGUUAACUCUAAUGAUUAUGCCAUGCAUUUUGGAUUAAGCUGCCUGAUCUUUCAUCCAAACCUUCUACUAAUUGUUAUUGAGUUAAUGACCUUGAAACUGAAUUGCUUCCUUGGGCCAAUUUGCAUUCAAAAAUCUCAUUUGGCUAGUGGCACCUUGAAGGGUUUUCGCCAACAAGCCUCUCUCAUCUUCUUUUCCUCAACUCACCAUAGUCUUAUGGUGUCUGUAAGAGUUUUCACCAACGAGACUCUCUUAUCUUCAUUUCUCUCAACUCACAGUCGUCUUACGAUGCCCGUGAGAGUUUUCACCGAUAAGACUCUCUCAUUUUUACUGCUCUCUUGAUUUCUUAUGCCGAGGAAGACAAGUGGUUCCCAAAUGCAUCAUCAUAUCCCUUGUAUUCUUAGCCUUAACAUCCUCAAAGAUUGAUCCGAAGGUCUUUCUUUGGUUGUAACUUGGCUUUUGGAUAGGGUUAGAAAGAAGGGAUGGCAUGGGGCCCAAACGACACUUAAAGUGGGGUAGGACUUACAACUUUUAAAAUCGACUCAAAUAAUGAGGAUUAACUCAUGCCCCAGUUUUUAACUAUGCAAUUCUAAAUCAUUUAUUUGGUUGGCCCGAGCCCUAAGUAGGGCAGCCUACGUAUCUCACCCCCGGUAGAGGAGAAUCAAGUCAUGCGUAGUUCUGCCAACUUAUUUUGCUUGAUUCUGAUUUCUUUUUUCUUUUGACUUCUUUUUUUUUUCUUUGUAAUUUUUCUGACUCUAUUUACUUACUCUUUUCUUCCUUCUUGGACACAUUUUCCUCUUUUUUUUUUAACUUUCUGACACUACUCUCUUGCUCGAUACUUUUCUUUUGAACUUUGUUGGUUUUAUCUUGAUUCCAAAAAAAGGGUAUGAAAGAAAAUAACACUAAGGCUUAAAUGGGGUAAACAAAGGAUGACACAAUGUUUAGAUAGCAGAAUAAAAUGUCUUCGUCAUAUCAAUCCUUGAAAAUGCACGUACAUAUCAUGCAAUAUGAAAGUGAAAGAUGAAGAUCAUUUGACACCUUAACAACACUAUCUUUAAUUGAACAUGUGUGCUACUUCUUCCUCUACACUUCUCAAACAUAUAACUCCACCUUUGUUGUAUAUCCCUUACAUUGAAUGACUCAUACUUUCGUCGAGUUGAUUUUCUUUAUAUUCCUCUUGAUAGGAUCACGCAGACACUGUUUGACCUAAUCGAGACAUGUCUUUUAAUUGACGACCAAGUUAUUCUUGUGAUUCUCAAAAUAAUUGCCUUAAUUUUUAGAAAAGGCUUUAACUUGUCACCAAAUAUCUCAGCACUCUACUAUUUUCUUAGAUGUUUCUCCUAACUUUAGCCCUCUGAUUCAAUGUUCAUGCUUAAACUGCAUUUUAAGAUCUGACUGAAAAUUCUGCAGGCAUGUCAUAUUACUAGAAUCAACAUAAAAUAUGUUGUAUAAAGAAAACAAACAAACAACACAUUUGAAACAUAAAAGGAAAGGGACACUUCAUUUAGUUGAAAUAAAAGAUAAAAGGGUUUGAACAUAAACGACGAAGGGACAAACAAGAUAGAUCUCGAACUACAACCCUGAAAUACUUCAAAAAAUAAAAAAGAAAACAAAACAAACUACCAGACCUCUUCCUAGUAGGGAGAUGGGUGACUUCUCAUUUGCUCAGCCUGACAACUUAGCCACUGGUUUGCAUAUCAACAUGACCAGAGCUUCCCUCACUGUCAAUGUUCUGCACCAUAAUCGAUCCAUCUUGAAUCAUCUUUUCAAUUUCCCUUUUCAAAUCUCUACAAUCUUUAAUACUAUGACCCUGAGCAUCAGAAUUAUACGCACAUCAUACAUUAGGGUCAAAAUUUCUUGAACGUCGAUUAAGAGUGCACCCAAGGAAAGGAGUGUUCAUUCUCCACUAUACCAAUUUCUGAAACAAACUGGCAUACGACUCUCUAAUUGGUGUGAAGCUAUCUCUCGACUUCUGCCUCAUUUCAUCAUUUGGCUUGGAUCAAAAAUCAGGCGUAGAAGGGUUUUGGUAUAUUUGUGAAGUUAGAGGAUGACUCUGAAUUGUUGGUGUUUUCCACUGUGGGUAAGAUGGGGGUUGAUUAUGUGGUUGUGCAUUAUAUACUGAAUAUGGAGGUGGAGGAGCAGAGUAUAAUGGAUUUUAGGAGUGAUUAUGUGGAGCUUGGGCAGGACCUUGGGUUUGAGCCUGAGAGUGGCGACAACGGGGUCUUCUUGACCGUGCCCACUGUCCAACUACAAUAGAGGAUGCAACUUCCUCAUUCUUUGUCUCCACAACACUUCCUGAACCCUUUUGAAUUGCUUGAGUUGUCACUUUCAAUGUUGCAAAACUCACAAUGUGACCAGUCUUAAUUCCCCCUUCUAUCAUCUCCCCAUUUUAAGGACCUCAAUAAAUGACUUGCCUAAUGCAGGUAACAAGUGUUGAUAAUAUAUUUCAUCCUGUGCUUGAAUAAAUACCUUUGCUAUUUUGCUUUCUUUCAUUGGCGGUUUUACUCUCACAGCUUGUUCGCGCCAUCUGAACGCAUACUUUCUGAAACUCUCAGUAUUCUUCUUUUUUAUACUAGUUAGGGAUUUUUCGUCAGAGAUCAACUCCACAUUGUAUUGAAAUUGUUAAAAAAAUUCAUUAGCUAGGUCAUCCCAACUAAUCUACUUGUCAAUGUCUUGGUCAACAAACCAUUUCGAAGCUAGGCCUGAAAGACUCUCCCAGAAAUAAUCCUUGAGUAGUUCUUCCUUCCCUCUAGUGCCCCUCAAUUGGUUAUAAUAGCGACUCAAAUGUGCCACUGGGUCCCCAUGUCCAUCAUAGUUCUCAACCUUUGGCAAUUUAAAGCCAGGUGGAAGGUUGACACCUGGAAACAUGCAUAAGUCCUUAUAUGAGACACUUAUGUAACCCUCAAGUCCUUGCAAGUUCUUCAUAGCCAGUUCCAAACUUCUCAAUUUUUGGUCAUUUUUCCUCUUGUCCUUCUUUCAUAACAAGCUUCUUAGUGUUAGGAGGAAAUUCAAGCGGGUGAGUGUCACUGUAAAGACCAGUCAACUUGAAUGUAGGCUCGAAAGUGUAAUGCUGAUCACCAAUAAUAUUCAAUGCAGGCUUUCUUGUAGAGUAGGGAGGCACAACUUGUGGACGAACAUCAAAAGUAGGAGCUUCAGGUGGUGGUGGCACCGCAAAAGCAUAAACAACAGGUGGAGCCGAGUAUGUGGUAGUCUUGGAUUAGGGAGUGAGGAAAUGAACAUUAGAAGUGGUUGGGUAUUGUUGCCCCCGAGUCGAUCCUGAUGCAUGUUGUGGCAUAUCAACAAAAAUGGGAAAUUGUGCAUAUGACACGAGAGGCAAGAUGGAAAGAUAUUCCAGAUUAUCAUUGGGAACUGGAGGAGGAGGUAACCCAUUAGCCCAAGCUCGAUGCAUUCCUAUCAUUUGCUGCCUCAAUUUUCGAAUCACUUCAUUAGCUCCUACAUUCUCACUUCCCAAACUCCCUAUCUGAUUAGUGACAACAAACUCGGUAUCCUUGUUAGCCAUAACCUUCUCUAUGACUUGGUGCAAUAUGGAGGACCCGCUAAAAUGCCACAACCCAACCACCUCAAACUAACUGAACAAGAGAUAGCAAAUGUGUUAGAGUUCAACACUUUCUCAAAAUCUCUCCUUUUUUUUCUUUUUUAAAAGGUCACCGAACCCAAGAAGGGUGUCUACGUAUCUCAGCCCCCGAGAGAGGAGAAUCAGGUGUGCGUAGUUCGUGAAAUCUUGCCAAAAUGGUCAAAUAAACUCUUUUUCUUUUUCUUGAAACUUUAAAAAUAAAAGGAAAUAACAAAUUGUCAAAAGAAUUGACGAAAAUCUUUUUUGCAUUUUUUGGCUUUAAUAACCUAUACAAAAUGAAACCUAUGAUUACCAAAGAAAAGUCAUUUUGGAUUUUCGAUUUUAAAUUUCAUAUGAAAAUAAAACUUGAAACUAUUAAAGGAAAAUGUUUUUGUAGUUUUCUUUUAGAGAUUUAUAUAAGACACUUACUUUAAAUAAAGAGUGAAGAAAAUCUUUUAGAAUUUUUCAAAUAAGAUCUCCGAACCAAAAAUAGGUUGCCUACAUAUCUCACAUCCCGAAAGAGGAGAAUCAGGGGUGCGUAGUUUGUCCAGAUUGGAUAAUUAAUGAUUAAAUAACCAACUAAACCCGGACUUGAGAGACCAGACCACAAACAGAAGAUGAAAAACAUCAAUAAAAUCUUUUUAAGUUUUCAAUUUGAGUCUUAACCUAAAAAUGACACCAAUAAAUAUGCAAGGAAAAUCUUUUUGAUACUUUCGUUAUAUGAAAUGUAUAAAACUUCUAUCAGUUUUUAAAUUUUUCUUUUAUAAAAGGCUCCUAUUGAAAAAAAAUCUUUUUAAAAUUUUUGAAUUAUGAAUGCAUGCUAAAGGAGACAAAGCAAAAAACUUUCUGAUGUUUUUGAUUUUAGACAAAUGAGUGCAAAAGGAAAAAAAAUCUUUCUGAAUUUUGAAUUUUGAAAAACAAAAGCCAUAAAGAACUCUAAAAACUAGAAACUCUCUUUUUUUUCUUUUCGACUCACUAUUCUUCUUUUUUUUUCUUUACUUCUAACACAUGUUUUCCCCAAAUUAGUCCAUCAAAUGACCAUAUUACCCUCAAAGAUGCAACAAUUAACACGUAGGGAUGCUUUAGAGGCGAGUCUCCUACAAAAGGCCAAGUGGGCCCCGUUAGGUCUUCAAUAUGAUGCAUAUAAACAUGACCUAAAGGCUGACCUACGUUGGGGUUCACUAACAAGGCUGUUCGGAGGAGCGUAUAUUCGAUAGUGGUUGCUUUGCUUUCCAUCUACUCAAUAACACCGAUGGCUCCUCCCAUAAAAUAAGGGUGACUCAACUAGAGGUCGUGUGCAAUACAUGUACUAUGGACUUGUUGCAGAAAGAAUGACUCGGGCUAUGCACAUGAUGCUAGAUAUAAAGUAGUAACACAUAAGAUAAAACUGUAAACAAAGAGCAUGUAGGCACUCAAAAAAAAAAACAAAAAGCAACACAAACAUAUGUCUAUACACCUAUAGUGACAAACUAAGCUGAUACAACUCCAAAUUAAGCUCUAAUUCUGAAAAUAGAUCUCCAGCAGAGUCGCCAGAGCUGUCACACCUCUUUUAAACUCCAAAAAGAUAUUAUUUUAAAAGUUUGAAAGGGUUUUCGUUAUAAAAGUGACAAAAGAUAAAAAUUUGCUUCGAAAAGGACCUUUUAUAUUCAAAACUCAGAGUCGCCACUUGGCAUAAUCCGGUGUGCCAAGUCACCUUUGGAAAAUCCUUUUCAAAAUGAUUUGACUCAAACUGGUUUGCUAACAGAGAUUUUGACUAAGGAAUUUUGUUGACAGACGGGAAGGUGUUAGGCACCCCUCGAUCCUGUGAUUUGAACGCGGUCGCUUGUUGGAGCAUAUCGGCUAAUUUGACACCACGAAUGUAUAAACCACACAAAAGCACGCAAAACAAUCAAUCAAGCAAAAAAAAAUAAAAACAAUCCAAAAUUUGGUGUCCAGUCCAAUUUAUUACAAAUCGAAAUAGAAAAUACUGAAAUAAACCUACACUAACCUAUACUAGUCCUAAAUUAUACUCUACCCGAUGCCUUGGUCCUUCAUCACAGACAUCCUCCGUGUACAAAAUACCUCAGGGCAUUCCCCAACGAAUAAACACAAAUACCUCGGGGCAUUCCCCAGCCAAAUGAAUACAUUUUUAAUGCAAGAAGACCACAAUCAUUCAAUAAUAUUUCAAACAUUCCAUAUUUUAUAAUCCCUAAAUUUGCUUAUCACCCCUAUUGUUUGCCUAUCGAUUUGACGACCUAAUCUUGAUACUAUCAAGUUCGAUGACAUCAAUGAAUCAAAAUUAGUCCGUAUUCAUUUUUUUACUUUUCAAAUCCCAUCUCACUUUUAUUCUUGAUCAAUUAACCAAUUCCAAUACAGAAUCAAAACUACGAUAAUCAUAGACGUUCAAACAUACUAUAAAAAAUUAUAUCAUCAAUCAACAUGAACCACGCAACUCACAACAUCACCUCACCAAAUUAAGUAAAACAAAGAGAAGGAGUUGAAGAAUUGGACCUUAGAAGAAGCUUUCAAAAUUGAUGUAUUAUUCCAAUAAAAACCCGGUACAAUCCGCGUCGAGAACCUUGAUUCAUACCUCAAUCACGAACUUGCCAACUCGAUCAAAACCCCAAAACAGCGGAGAAAGCCACAAAAAAAAUCCAAAUCUCAAUUUUUGAACCAAGCUUGAAAUGAGUCAUGCCAGGUUUGUUAUUUUUGGUGAAGUUCGAACUCGCUGAAGCUCCGAUGGAUCUCGACAGUCAGCGAAACAAUGUUUUCCCAGUGAGAUUUUGCCAGAGAACUAGAAAUGAAAGAGAAUUCGAAGAUUUUGAGGGUGCGGAUGGUCUAAUUCCGGUAAGGGAAUACCGAUUUCGGCGAGAAACUCGCCGAAAAAACCAAACCAGUCGUCCUUUUUCUCAUGUAUUCCCUCUCUUCGAUCGAUUCUCUCCCUUUCUCAAUUUGGAUUGUCUUCUCUCCGAUCUCACGCUCAGAUUUGUCUCUCACUGUGGUUGUGUGUAUGUAUAAUGGUUUUGUGUGAAGGCAGGUGUAUUAAUGGAAUAAACUCAUCAGUGAUGGUGUCUAUAUAUUCCUCUUUCCCGUAUUCUAUAUGUGUAUAUGUUGAAUUGAGAUCUUUUUCUUUAUGGUUACCGUGAUGUUCGUCCAUGGCGUGUAGGUGUGUUCGUGGUAUAUGGGUCUUCUCUAAAAAUGGAAAAAAAUGGUCAGAAUGUUACUGUGUGGACAUCUCUGUAUUGUUAUCUAUUGUAUUCUUAUGUAUUCGCCUCCCAGUUUCUGUGUGAAGUGCGUGUGUAUAUUGUGAAUUACAGUGAGUGAGAAUUGUGUGGUAGUGGAGUAGGGUAGGUGGGCUAGUGAGGUGCGGGUAGGGGUAGGAUGUGAUGUGGUUUAUUUUGAUUGGAUGGGUUGUUAGGAUAAGAUAAAAUUAGCUAGGGAUUGUUAUUUUUGUCAUUUUGUGGAGAUUAUCACACGGGGUAGGGUACGCGGUAGGAUAAGGUAAAAAUGUGUAAAAAUGAUAUAGGGAAGGGACAAAAUUAGGUGUCUACAUCAUGCCCCCUUUGAAUGUAAACACAAAGUAUUUUUGAACAAAGAAGUAGACAACAAGACAGAAUUUUGUCCCGAUCAUUAUUCGAAGGAAAAAUAGAAGAAAGAAGAGCAAUCGAGUAUUGACUUAGGACACCCUACCUACCCAAGUUAUGAGGGAAUCAAGUGACAGGAUUCUCAAAGGAUUGAAAGGAGAUGGACUUUACCGAGUUGAAGAGUCGAGUGAGGUCCCGAUGAGGUUCCAGUCCGCGCAUCUGUUAUUACAUCAUAAAUAAAAGUUACAAGUUAAAACAUAAAUAAAAUUACAAAAUCAUAUCUAUGCAGUUAGUUUCUUUUGGACUCUUAACUUGAGUUUCAUCACUCUAUUCUUCAGGCGGGCUCCUGACUUGCAAUUUCAUCACUUGUUGCUUGGUUUUCAAUCUCUUCACCCUGUUCUUCAGGCGGGUUCCUAACUUGCUAUUUUUUCAAUCUGUUGACUUUAAAUUUCUUCACCUUGUUGCUUGACUUUCAACUUCUUCACCUUGUUACUUGACUUUCAACUUUUUCACCAUGUUGCUUGACUUUUCAUUUAUUCACCCUGCUCUUCAGGCGGGCUCCUGAAAUCACAUCAAUACUAAAAAGAAAAAUUAUCCCAAACAAAGAUUAUUAUAAAGAGAUUUCAUUUGUCAGGAAAGCGAAGUUCCAAACACAGGAUUUAAAUUUUCCCCAGUUUCUCAUCAAAGGACUUUUGGGAAAGUCACAUCAUUAUAGGAAUCAAAGGGAAUGACUAGACUAAAAGGAACAUCUUAUAAGAAUCAAAGGGAAUGACUCAACUAAAAGGUACGUCUUCUAGGAAUCAAGGGAUAUGACUCGACUAAAAGGUACUUCUUAUAGGAAUCAAGGGGCAAGGGGAAUGACUUGACUAAGUCUAAUGACUCGACUAGGGAAUGACUAGACUAAAAGGAACAUCUUAUAAGAAUCAAAGGGAAUGACUCAACUAAAAUGUACGUCUUAUAGGAAUCAAGGGGAAUGACUUGACUAAAAGGUACGUCUUUUAGGAAUCAAAUGACUCGACUAAAGGCACAUCAUCUAGGAAUCAAGGGGAAUGACUAGACUAAAAGGUACGUCUUCUAGGAAUCAAAGGUAAUGACUCGACUAAAAGGUACGUCAUCUAGGAAUCAAGGGGAAUGACUCGACUAAAAGGUACGUUUUCUAGGGGUCAAGGGGAACGAUUCAACUAAAAGGUACGUCUUCUAGGGGUCAAAGGGAAUGACUCGACUAAAAGGUACAUUUUAUAGGAAUCAAGGGGAAUGACUCGACUAAAAGGUACGUCUUCUAGGGGUCAAGAGGAAUGACUCGACUAAAAGGUACGUCUUCUAGGAAUCAAAUUAAAUAACUCGACUAAAAGGUACGCCUUAUAGGAAUCAAGGAGAAUGACUCGACUAAAAGGUACGUCUUCUAGGGGUCAAGGGAAAAGACUCGACUAAAAGAUAUGUCUUAUAGGAAUUAAAGAAGAUGACUCGAAUAAAAGGUACGUCUCAUAGGAGUGAAGGUUCAAUUUAAGAAGUGUAUCACCUAGCAAAUGAAAACUAAAAUCCCUGGACAAGAAAGUGUCUCCGAGGGAUAUAGGAUGAUGAUUUUUUACAAUGACUUGAUUAUUAAACCUGUCCAACAACAUUGUUUCCUGCAUUUGUAGGAGUGAGGCAUUGCAGACCUUGAUAUUUAUGUUCCGAAUUCCUUGAUUUAAAGGUAAUAUGUUUCCUAUUUCAUCAAAAAAAACUUGUGAGUUAAAAAAUAUGGUGGCUGGCUUGUGGCUUUAGCUUUUGCGACAAUCGCUCUUGCCCCAGUCACAUUUAACCUUGCUUCCAACCAUUAGCAUAUGUCAUUGACUUGUUGAAUCAGUGAUCCAAACUCAUAUUAGGAAGAGUGACUCUGCCACAAACACAGUAUCUCUGCUUUGCCAUGUUUCUCAGUUAAACCCUUUGAACUAUGGUAUUUCCGUGGGUUCCCAGACUUGUCUAUUGACAAAACUUUCUAUAUGUCCUUUUUUCAGCUCACAAUUAUAUCUCUUUCAUGCGCUGGCCUUUUUGUCUUGCUUUGUACAAUUGAAGAAGUUGGUAGCCAAUUUUAAAAUCUUUUCUCACUUGUUUCGACAUGGACUAGACUCAAAGACAAGAGCGAAAAUGACCAUGAUUUUUUAUUUGGAUAACUGACUCAAGAAAAAUAAAAUAAAAAUAAAACAAAGAGAAGAAAGAAAAGACAAUGAAUGUACCCAUUAAAAAAAAUAAUGAAAAAUGUAUCUAAAAAUGACAGUUAACUCUAUUGAUUAUGCCAUGCAUUUUGGAUUAAGUUGCCUGAUCUUUCAUCUAAACCUUCUACUAAUUGUUGUUGAGUUAAUGACCUUGAAACUGAAUUGCUUCCUUGGGCCAAUUUGCAUUCAAAAAUCUCAUUUGGCUAGUGGCACCUUGAAGGGUUUUCGCCAACAAGCCUCUCUCAUCUUCUUUUCCUCAACUCACCAUAGUCUUAUGGUGUCUGUAAGAGUUUUCACCAACGAGACUCUCUUAUCUUCGUUUCUCUCAACUCAUAGUCGUCUUACGAUGCCCAUGAGAGUUUUCACCGAUAAGAAUCUCUCAUUUUUAUUGCUCUCUUGAUUUCUUAUGCCGAGGAAGACAAGUGGUUCCCAAAUGCAUCAUCAUAUCCCUUGCAUGCUUAGCCUUAACAUCCUCAAAGAUUGAUCCGAAGGUCUUUCUUUGGUUGUAACUUGGCUUUUGGAUAGGGUUAGAAAGAAGGGAUGGCAUGGGGCCCAAACGGCACUUAAAGUGGGGUAGGACUUACAAUUUUUAGAAACGACUCAAAUAAUGAGGAUUAACUUAUGCCCCAGUUUUUUACUAGGCAAUUCUAAAUUAUUUAUUUGGUUGGACCAAGCCCUAAGUAGGGCAUCCUACGUAUCUCACCCCCGAGAGAAAAGAAUCGGGUCAUGCGUAGUUCUGGCAACUUGUUUUGCUUGAUUCUGAUUUCAUUUUUCUUUUGACUUCUUUUUUUUUCUUUGUAAUUUUUCUGACUCUAAUUUACUUACUUUUUUUCUUCCUUCUUGGACACAUUUUCCUCUUUUUUUGAAAAAACUUUCUGACUCUACUCUCUUGCUCUAUACUUUUCUUUUGAACUUUAUUGGUUUUAUCUUGAUUCCAAAAAAGGGGUAUGAAAGAAAAUAACACUAAGGCUUAAAUGGGGUAGACAAAGGAUGACACAAUGUUUGAAUAACAGAAUAAAAUGUCUUUGUCAUAUCAAUCCUUGAAAAUGCACGUACAUAUCAUGCAAUAUAAAAGUGAAAGAUGAAGAUCAUUUGACACCUUAAAACCACUAUCUUUAAUUGAACAUGUGUGCUACUUCUUCCUCUACACUUGUCAAACAUAUAACUCCACCUUUGUUGUAUAUCCCUUACAUUGAAUGACUCAUACUUUCGUCGAGUUGAUUUUCUUUAUAUUCCUCUUGAUAGGAUCACGCAGACACUGUUUGACCUAAUCGAGACAUGUCUUUUAAUUGAUGACCAAGUUAUUCUUGUGAUUCUCAAAAUAAUUGCCUUAAUUUUUAGAAAAGGCUUCAACUUGUCACCAAAUAUCUCAGUACUCUACUAUUUUCUUAGAUGUUUCUCCUAACUUUAGCCCUCUGAUUCAAUGUUCAUGCUUAAACUGCAUUUUAAGAUCUGACUGAAAAUUCCGCAGGCAUGUCAUAUUACUAGAAUCAACAUAAAAUAUGUUGUAUAAAGAAAACAAACAAACAACACAUUUGAAACAUAAAAGGAAAGGGACACUUCAUUUAGUUGAAAUAAAAGAUAAAAGGGUUUGAACAUAAACGACGAAGGGACAAACAAGAUAGAUCUCGAACUACAACCCUGAAAUACUUCAAAAAAUAGAAAAGAAAACAAAACAAACUACCAGACCUCUUCCUAGUGGGGAGAUGGGUGACUUCUCAUUUGCUCAGCCUGACAACUUAGCCACUGGUUUGCAUAUCAACAUGACCAGAGCUUCCCUCACUGUCAAUGUUCUGCACCAUAAUCGAUCCAUCUUGAAUCAUCUUUUCAAUUUCCCUUUUCAAAUCUCAACAAUCUUUAAUACUAUGACCCUGAGCAUCAGAAUUAUACGCACAUCAUACAUUAGGGUCAAAAUUUCUUGAACAUCGAUUAAGAGUGCACUUAAGGAGAGGAGUGAUCAUGCUCCAUUGUACCAAUUUCUGAAACAAACUAGCAUACGACUCUCUAAUUGGUGUGAAGUUAUCUCUCGACUUCUGCCUCAUUUCAUCAUUUGGCUUGGAUAAAAAAUCAGGCUUAGAAGGGUUUUGGUAUAUUUGUGAAGUUAGAGGAUGACUCUGAAUUGUUGGUGUUUUCCACUGUGGGUAAGAUGGGGGUUGAUUAUGUGGUUGUGCAUUAUAUACUGAAUAUGGAGGUGGAGGAGCAGAGUAUAAUGGAUUUUAGGAGUGAUUAUGUGGAGCUUGGGCAUGACCUUGGGUUUGAGCCUGAGAGUGGCGACAACGGGGUCUUCUUGACCGUGCCCGCUGUCCAACUACAAUAGAGGAUGCAACUUCCUCAUUCUUUGUCUCCACAAUACUUCCUGAACCCUUUUGAAUUGCUUGAGUUGUCACUUUCAAUGUUGCAAAACUCACAAUGUGACCAGUCUUAAUUCCCUCUUCUAUCAUCUCCCCCAUUUUAAGGACCUCAAUAAAUGACUUGCCUAAUGCAGGUAACAAGUUUUGAUAAUAUAUUUCAUCCUGUGCUUGAAUAAACACCUUUGCUAUUUUGCUUUCUUUCAUUGGCGAUUUUACUCUAACAGCUUGUUCGCGCCAUCUGAUCGCAUACUUUCUGAAACUCUCAGUAUUCUUCUUUUUUAUACUAGUUAGGGAUUUUUCGUCAGAGAUCAACUCCACAUUGUAUUGAAAUUGUUGCACAAAUUCAUUAGCUAGGUUAUCCCAACUAAUCUACUUGUCAAUGUCUUGGUCAACAAACCAUUUCGAAGCUAGGUCUAAAAGACUCCCCCAGAAAUAAUCCUUGAGUAGUUCUUCCUUCCCUCUAGCGCCCCUCAAUUGGUUACAAUAGCGACUCAAAUGUGCCACUGGGUCCCCAUGUCCAUCAUAGUUCUCAAACUUUGGCAUUUUAAAGUCAGGUGGAAAGUUGACACCUGGAAACAUGCAUAAGUCCUUAUAUGAGACACUUUUGUAACCCUCAAGUCCUUGCAAGUUCUUCAUAGCCAGUUCCAAACUUCUCAAUUUUUUGGUCAUUUCCUCUUGUCCUUCUUUCAUAACAAGCUUCUCAGUGUUAGGAGGAAAUUCAAGUGGGUGAGUGUCACUGUAAAGACCAGUCAACUUGAAUGUAGGCUCGAAAGUGUACCGCUGAUCACCAGUAAUAUUCAAUCCAGGCUUUCUUGUAGAGUAGGGAGGCACAACUUGUGGACGAACAUCAAAAGUAGGAGCUUCAGGUGGGGGUGGCACCGCAAAAGCAUGAACAACAGGUGAAGCCGAGUAUGUGGUAGUCUUGGAUUGGGGAGUGAGGAAAUAAACAUUAGAAGUGGUUGGGUAUUGUUGCCCCAAAGUCGAUCCUGAUGCAUGUUGUGGCAUAUCAACAAAAAUGGGAAAUUGUGCAUAUGACACGAGAGGCAAGAUGGAAAGAUAUUCCAGAUUAUCAGUGGGAACUGGAGGAGGAGGUAACCCAUUAGCCCAAGCUCGAUGCAUUCCUAUCAUUUGCUGCCUCAAUUUCCGAAUCACUUCAUUAGCUCCUACAUUCUCACUUCUCAAACUCCCUAUCUGAUAGUGACAACAAACUCGGUAUCCUUGUUAGCCAUAACCUUCUCUAUGACUUGGUGCAAUAUGGAGGACCAGCUAAAAUGCCACAACCCAACCACCUCAAACUAACUGAACAAGAGAUAACAAAUGCGUUAGAGUCUAACACUUUCUCAAAAUCUCCCCUUUUUUUCUUUUUGAAAAGGUCACCGAACCCAAGAAGGCUACCUACGUAUAUCACCCCCUGAGAGAGGAGAAUCAGGUGUGCGUAGUUCAUGAAAUCUUGCCAAAAUGGUCAAAUAAACUCUUUUUCUUUUUCUUGAAACUUUAAAAAUAAAAGGAAAUAACAAAUUGUCAAAAGAAUUGACGAAAAUCUUUUUUGCAUUUUUCGGCUUUAAUAACCUAUACAAAAUGAAACCUAUGAUUACCAAAGAAAAGUCAUUUUGGAUUUUCGAUUUUGAAUUUCAUAUGAAAAUAAAACUUGAAACUAUUAAAGGAAAAUGUUUUUGUAGUUUUCUUUUUAGAGAUGUAUAUAAAACACUUACUUUAAAUAAAGAGUGAAGAAAAUCUUUUAGAAUUUUUCAAAUAAGAUCCCCGAACCAAAAAUAGGUUGCCUACAUAUCUCACAUCCCGAAAGAGGAGAAUCAGGGGUGCGUAGUUCAUCCAGAUUGGAAAAUUAAUGAUUAAAUAAUCGACUAAACCCGGACUUGAGAUACCAGACCACAAACAGAAGAUGAAAAACAUCAAUAAAAUCUUUUUAAGUUUUCAAUUUGACACUUAACCUAAAAAUGACACCAAUAAAUAUGCAAGGAAAAUCUUUUUUGAUAUUUUCGUUAUACGAAAUGUAUAAAACUUCUACCAGUUUUUAAAUUUUUCUUUUAUAAAAGGCUCCUAUUGAAAAAUAAUCUUUUUGAAAUUUUUGAAUUAUGAAUGCAUGCUAAAGGAGACAAAGCAAAAAACUUUCUGAUGUUUUUGAUUUUUGAGAAAUGAGUGCAAAAGGAAAAAAAAUCUUUCUGAAUUUUGAAUUUUGAAAAACAAAAGCCAUAAAGAACUCUGAAAACUAGAAACUCUCUUUUUUUUUCUUUUUGACUCACUAUUCUUUUUUUUUUUUUUUUUUUUACUUCUAACACAUGUUUUCCCCAAAUUAGUCCAUCAAAUGACCAUAUUACCCUCAAAGAUGCAACAAUUAACACGUAGGGAUGCUUUAGAGGCAAGUCUCCUACAAAAGGCCAAGUGGGCCCCUCUAGGUCUUCAAUAUGAUGCAUAUAAACAUGACCUACAAGGUGACCUACGUUGGGGUUCACUAACAAGGCUGUUCGGAGGAGCGUAUAGUCGAUAGUGGCUGCUUUGCUUUCCACCUACUCCAUAACAUCGAUGGCUCCUCCCCUAAAAUAAGGGUGACUCAACUAGAGGUCGUGUACAACACGUGUACUAUGGACUUGUUGCAGAAAGAAUGACUCGGGCUAUGCACAUGAUGCUAGAUAUAAAGCAGCAACACAUAAGAUAAAAUUAUAAACAAAGAGCAUGUAGGCACUCAAAAAAAUAACAAAAAGCAACGCAAAUAUAUGUCUAUACACGUAUAGUGACAAACUAAGCCGAUACAACUCCAAAUUAAGCUUGAAUUCUGAAAAUAGAUCUCCAACGGAGUCGCCAGAGCUGUCACACCCCUUUUUAACUCCAAAAAGAUAUUAUUUUAAAAGUUUGAAAGGGUUUUCGUUAUAAGUGACAAAAGAUAAAAAUUUGCUUCGAAAAGGACCUUUUAUAUUCAAAACUCAGAGUCGCCACUUGGCAUAAUCCGGUGUGCCAAGUCACCUUUGAAAAAUCCUUUUCAAAACGAUUUGACUCAAACUGGUUUGCGAACAGAGAUUUCAGCUAAGGAAUUCUGUUGACCGACGGAAAGGUGUUAGGCACCCCUCGAUCCUGUGGUUUGAACACGGUCGCUUGUUGGAGCGUAUCGGCUAAUUUGACACCACGAAUGUAUAAACCACACAAAAGCACGCAAAACAAUCAAUCAAGCAAAAAAAAUAAAAACAAUCCAAAAUUUGGUGUCCAGUCCAAUUUAUUACAAAUUGAAAUAGAAAAUACUGAAUAAACCUACACUAACCUAUACUAGUCCUAAAUUAAACUCUACCCGAUGCCUUGGGCCUUCAUCACAGACAUCCUCCGUGUACAAAAUACCUCAGGGCAUUCCCCAACGAAUAAACACAAAUACCUCGGGGCAUUCCCCAGCCAAAUGAAUACAUUUUCAAUGCAAGAAGACCACAAUCAUUCAAUAAUAUUUCAAACAUUCCACAAUUUAUAAUCCCUAAAUUUGCCUAUCACCCCUAUUGUUUGCCUAUCGAUUUGACGACCUAAUCUUGAUACUAUUAAGUUCGAUGACAUCAAUGAAUUAAAAUUAGUCCGUAUUCAUUUUUUUACUUUUCAAAUCCCGUCUCACUUUCAUUCUUGAUCAAUUAACCAAUUCCAAUACAGAAUCAACCAAUCAAAACUACGAUAAUCAUAGACGUUCAAACAUACUAUCAAAAAUUAUAUCAUCAAUCAACAUGAACCACGCAACUCACAACAUCACCUCACCAAAUUAAGUAAAACAAAGAGGAGGAGUUGAAGAAUUGGACCUUAGAAGAAGCUUUCAAAAUUGAUGUAUUAUUCCAAUAAAAACCCGGUACAAUCCGCGUCGAGAACCUCGAUUCAUACCUCAAUCACGAACUUGCCAACUCGAUCAAAACCCCAAAACAAUGGAGAAAACCACAAAAAAAAAAAAUCCAAAUCUCAAUUUUCGAACCAAGCUUGAAACGAGUCACGCUAGGUUUGCUAUUUUUGGUGAAGUUCGAACUCGCUGAAGCUCCGAUGGAUCUCGGCAGUCAGCGAAACAAUGUUUUCCCAGUGAGAUUUUGCCAGAGAACUAGAAACGAAAGAGAAUUCGAAGAUUUUGAGGGUGCGGAUGGUCUAAUUCCGGUAAGGGAAUACCGAUUUCGGUGAGAAACUCGCCGGAAAAACCAAACCAGCCGUCCUUUUUCUCAUGUAUUCCCUCUCUCCGAUCGAUUCUCUCCCUUUCUCGAUUUGGAUUGUCUUCUCUCCGAUCUCACGCUCAGAUUUGUCUCUCACUGUGGUUGUGUGUAUGUAUAAUGGUUUUGUGUGAAGGCAGGUGUAUUAAUGGAAUAAACUCAUCAGUGAUGGUGUCUAUAUAUUCCUCUUUCCCGUAUUCUAUAUGUGUAUAUGUUGAAUUGGGAUCUUUUUCUUUAUGGUUACCGUGAUGUUCGUCAAUGGCGUAUAGGUGUGUUCGUGCUAUAUGGGUCUUCUCUAAAAAUGGAAAAAUAUGGUCAGAAUGUUACUGUGGGGACAUCUAUAUUGUUAUCUAUUGUAUUCUUAUGUAUUCGCCUCCCUAUUUCUAUGUGAAGUAUAUGUGUAUAUUGUGAAUUCCAG
rnacentral:lncRNA from 1 species